rnacentral:rRNA from 1 species
UGCCUACGGGGGGCAGCAGUGAGGAAUAUUGGUCAAUGGCCGAGAGGCUGAACCAGCCAAGUCGCGUGAGGGAAGACGGCCCUACGGGUUGUAAACCUCUUUUGUCGGGGAGCAAAGCGAACCACGUGUGGUUCAUUGAGAGUACCCGAAGAAAAAGCAUCGGCUAACUCCGUGCCAGCAGCCGCGGUAAUACGGAGGAUGCGAGCGUUAUCCGGAUUUAUUGGGUUUAAAGGGUGCGCAGGCGGGAGAUCAAGUCAGCGGUAAAAUGUCGGGGCUCAACCCCGGCCGGCCGUUGAAACUGGUUU